CUCCUGGCUGAAGAUGAAGGCCCAAAUCAGGGCCUGUCCCAGAAGAUGUGUUUGUUGCCUCUGUGGUCUGCACGCUCACCUGCACAGACUGGUCUCUGAGGGACCUGGGACCCAAGAUGACUCCCUCACCUGUUUAGGCAGUCAGAGCCCUUUCCUCUGUUGGGGAAGGUGCCUGGAUGUCUGGAGCCCGAAAAGGGUUCUGUUCCAGAUGCUGUGUCGAUUCUGCAGUCCGCACUCUCACCUGUGCAGAUUGGUCUCUGAGGGACCCAGGGUCCAAGAUGGCUCCCUUACCUGUUCAAGCAGUCAGCCACAUUAGUGUUCUUAAUAGACUAAAGUGUGUAUUCAGUAUUUGUCAGGGAAAAAACAGUUGUCUCUCUGCAGACAACCACUUCUGUAGUAGACCUAUUCAUCUGUGUCUGCACAUAUACUACGCAUCUUCUGUUAUGUUGCCCAAGUGAAGGAGGAUGCUAGAGAGGUCCUUGAGUUCAGUUGCCCGCAACCACAUGGUGGCUGACAAUCUUCUGUAAUGGAAUCCGAUGCCCUCUUCCAGUGUGUCUGAAGAUAGCUACAGUAUACUCAUAUACAUAUAUAAUGAAUAAAUCUUUAGCAGGUAGUCAAUAUGAGUAAUUGUUCAUUAAUGAAAAGGUCUGUCUAUAUGCAUAUAUUCCUGAAUAUGUAAAUAUUUUCCAAGACUCCUAAUAUAGGUGUCUCUUUCUAAGUAUCUCUUGUAUUUUUAACCAAUCACAGGUGGGUGUGUGAAGACCAUUGCAUGAAGAACUAUAAAUUUGUAAUAUGAAUAGGAGUUAAAACAUAUUCGUCAGGAGAGACAUCCAUACUAAGUGCCAAAUGAGUUAAAACUUAGGAGGGUUUUAUGUAAAAAUGAAUUUACUGAAUACAGAUGAAAUUUCCCAUGACAUAUGGAAUUUUAUUUGGUAGAUGAAAACUGUGCUCAGGGAAGGCCACUGGCUUUCUGUCAGAUACCAGCAAAGAAGGGCUGAGACAUGGCUGCCUAACCUCGCAGGACAGCAAGCAUGAAGCAAGCUUCAACAAGGGUAUUCUGAGAUUUGGAACUGAGUAUGUGGGAUGAAUUGACCAGAAGGAGAAAAGAUGAGAUUGGUUUGUCAACUGAAGUGGGAAUAAGAUAAAGUCUCUCCUUUUCUCAAUGUGGACCCAGAGUCUCACUCAGGUUUUCCAGAAUGGAGCACCUCCACGCUACCUCAUGAGCUAUUAUCCGUAUUUGCUUUCAGUUGAUGUUUGCUUCUACUUACAAAAACACAGCCUGGAAGAUGUGAACAAGGGAGUUAUUCUUUGCAUCCUUUAAUGAAAGAAGUAACAAUAUUGA